GUAGGUGGCAAGCGUUGUCCGGAAUUAUUGGGCGUAAAGCGCGCGCAGGCGGUUCUUUAAGUCUGAUGUGAAAGCCCACGGCUCAACUGUGGAGGGUCAUUGGAAACUGGAGAACUUGAGUACAGAAGAGGAAAGCGGAAGUCCACGUGUAGCGGUGAAAUGCGUAGAGAUGUGGAGGAACACCAGUGGCGAAGGCGGCUUUCUGGUCUGUAACUGACGCUGAGGCGCGAAAGCGUGGGGGGAGCAAACAGGAUUAGAUACCCUGGUAGUCCACGCCGUAAACGAUGAGUGCUAAGUGUUAGGGGGUUUCCGCCCCCCCCUUAGUGCUGCAGCUAACGCAUUAAGCACUCCGCCUGGGGAGUACGGCCGCAAGGCUG
rnacentral:rRNA from 1 species